GGUCUGAGACACGGCCCAGACUCCUACGGGAGGCAGCAGUGGGGAAUUUUGGACAAUGGGCGCAAGCCUGAUCCAGCAAUGCCGCGUGCAGGAAGAAGGCCUUCGGGUUGUAAACUGCUUUUGUCACGGAAGAAAUCUUCUGGGUUAAUACCUCGGGAGGAUGACGGUACCUGAAGAAUAAGCACCGCCUAACUACGUGCCAGCAGCCGCGGUAAUACGUAGGGUGCGAGCGAAUCGGAAUUACUUGGGCGUAAAGCGUGCGCAGGCGGCUUUGCAAGACAGUUGUGAAAUCCCCGGGCUCAACCUGGGAACUGCAUUUGUGACUGCAAGGCUAGAGUACGGCAGAGGGGGAUGGAAUUCCGCGUGUAGCAGUGAAAUGCGUAGAUAUGCGGAGGAUCACCAAUGGCGAAGGCAAUCCCCUGGGCCUGUACUGACGCUCAUGCACGAAAGCGCGGGGAGCAAAC
rnacentral:rRNA from 1 species